rnacentral:rRNA from 1 species
AGUAACUACUGGAAACGGUAGCUAAUACCGCAUAACGUCGCAAGACCAAAGAGGGGGACCUUCGGGCCUCUUGCCAUCAGAUGUGCCCAGAUGGGAUUAGCUAGUAGGUGGGGUAACGGCUCACCUAGGCGACGAUCCCUAGCUGGUCUGAGAGGAUGACCAGCCACACUGGAACUGAGACACGGUCCAGACUCCUACGGGAGGCAGCAUG